rnacentral:rRNA from 1 species
GAAUUUUAUAAAAAUUUUUAAAUAAUUAAAGGAAAGGAAUAUUUAAAAUUAUUUAAUUUAUCGGGAGGAUAGUUAAAUUAAUUAAACUUUAAUAAUAUUAUUAAGGUAUAUAAAUAAAACAUAGAUUGAUAAAUUUAUGAUUAUGGGUUGAAUAAUAUAGAAUUAAUUACCUUAGGGAUAACAGCGUAAAAUUUUUGGAGAGAUCAUAUCAAUAAAAAUGUUUGC